CCACAGAGCAACAUGAGGGCCCAAGAAAUGGAUGCACCAGCUAUUGAGGAAGACAGAUGGAUAAUAGGCAGGUAAAAAGGAAGGAAUUACUAGAUAGUCUCAGUAGAAGCCCUUCACCCCCAUAUACCUGCUCCUGCUUUGAAAAUGCAGGUGCUAAUUCACCAAACACCAACAGGAAAUGGUAGGAGUAUAAUGACCUCUUCCUAAGGAGUGUCAUAAUAUCUUCCUGACAUUUAAAAACAUGGUCUCUAUUAGGCAGCACCCUGCAAAGUAAUUCACUUACCCAUGUUGAGGAUUGUGGGCCACAAACAGCACUUUGACAGGCACUUCUGUCUGGCGAUUCUGUGUUCAGUUUGCUCAAGAACUCAGCGGUUUUGCUACCAGAAACACAAACAGGUGUUAGUGCCUUCACAAAAAUAUGAACAUAAUUCUUUAUUUUUCCUUUGGAUACUAACCUAGACUUAUUUGGGUGAUGAUUAAAAUUAUCUUCAGCAGAACAGAAAGUUACGUUGAGAACAAGGUGUAGCAGAAAUCAAAACAAAAUGCUAUUGCAAGAUUGCAUUCUUCAAGAACAAUAUUACAAAAUUAUAAAACUAGCUUUAUGAAAUGUGAGCUUAUGACCUCAUUUUUUCCACUUUAUAUUACUGACAUAAAUACAAGUCCUCUCCCAGAGCACAUUCCACAGCAUGCAGCCCUAAUUUCCUAUCUGAACAUUUAAUGCUUAACACUCAGACUUCAGGGUGGAGCUGUGGAACAUUCACGCCCUACAACAUCCUGCUUCACACCAGUUUUACAUUAAGCCCUUUACCCUCUCAUCUGCCUCAUGGCUUUGACCACUGUUAGGACACAGAGACCCUCUAAUCCAGUAGCUCUUUUCCAUUUAUGGAUCAUGGAGCCCUUUUGGACUCUGAAAGCAAAAGUGAACCCUCUGUUAACAGACACACACACACACACACACACACACACACACACACACAGUCCUUUGCAUUUUGUUUCAGAGAGAGGAUAAACCCUCCAUAGGGUUUAUCUAUAGAGGUUAAAAAGUGCUGCUGAUUCUAGACUGCAUUUCUAAUAUCUCUUUUUAGCUCUGAAAAAUUGACCUAGAAAUGUCCUCAGUUUAAAUAAGAAGUUCUCUGUUUUUACCUUAAAAAUCCAAACCACCACCCCAAUUUCCCCUCUCACUUAUGCCAAGCAUAGAACACUGGAAUUGUUUCCUAGUCCUUACCUCAGUGCCUGGCCCAUUCUGCCUACCCUUGAUUAAUUUCUACGCCUUUGUCCUUUUCUCAUGUAAUUUGUGUGAUUUUUAUCUCUUCAUUGCACAUUCACAGCCACAUACCUCAUUGAGCACUGACUUACUUUGCACCAGACUUGCGCAGCCUGUUCCCAUCUCCCUCCCUCCUCCUGCUAGCCCUCUGCUUCCCCCUAAUAUUUUAAGCCCAAUGCUAAGAUCUGAUUCAUCAAGUACUUAGGACAUGGGCAUCAAAGGAAACACAAAGUAUCUGGUAGAACAAAUGGCAUCCAGUGUAGGAGCAAAACAAGGAAUUAGAAACUAAACAGGUGCCAGCAUCACUUCAAAUAUUACUUAGGUAGAACAUGGCAUUUGAAAAAGGUCAGAAGCUUGAUCUGGGGAAGGAAGAAAUAAAAGUGAAGCAACAUACAGAACCCUGAGAAACAUUCAGCAGUUGAGACGAGCAGCCUUUCCAUUUGUCUUAGAUUACUUAUCUUGCCCAGAAUAGACAAGGAGACUAAUGAAGUCACAGAGUGUGGAAGCUGCCCCAUUGUCUGGGGCUUUAUGAAGUCAUCAGUCAAAAGUAUAAAAAGAAGAGUGAUGCCAGAAGUUUGGAUGAGAUCUCUGAAUAUCCUAAGCCAAGUGCAGGCCAUAGGA
rnacentral:lncRNA from 10 species